AACCCAUGAUUUGGGCAUUUUCUCAGCAUCAUUUGGAACCUCUCCCAUGUCUCAUAGAAAGAUUCAUUUUCUCCUUGUCUGAACAUAGAGAUUUCAGACUUUGCUU
rfam:Phaseolus vulgaris cultivar G19833 chromosome 8, whole genome shotgun sequence.